AACGAACGCUGGCGGCAGGCCUAACACAUGCAAGUCGAGGGGUAGAAGUUACUUGUAACUUUGAGACCGGCGCACGGGUGCGUAACGCGUAUGCAAUCUACCUUUUACAGAGGGAUAGCCCAGAGAAAUUUGGAUUAAUACCUCAUAGUAUCUUUGCCCGGCAUCGGGUGAUUAUUAAAGUUCCAACGGUAAAAGAUGAGCAUGCGUCCUAUUAGCUAGAUGGUAAGGUAACGGCUUACCAUGGCAACGAUAGGUAGGGGUCCUGAGAGGGAGAUCCCCCACACUGGUACUGAGACACGGACCAGACUCCUACGGGAGGCAGCAGUGAGGAAUAUUGGACAAUGGGCGCAAGCCUGAUCCAGCCAUGCCGCGUGGGUGAAGAAGGCCUUCGGGUUGUAAAGCCCUUUUGUUGGGAAAGAAAUCCAGUCGGCUAAUACCUGGUUGGGAUGACGGUACCCAAAGAAUAAGCACCGGCUAACUUCGUGCCAGCCGCCGCAGUAACAC
rnacentral:rRNA from 1 species